CGCGUAGGCGGCUUGGUAAGUAGGGGGUGAAAUCUCACGGCUCAACUGUGAGGCUGCCUUCUAGACUGCCGAGCUCGAGCACAGUAGAGGCAGGUGGAAUUCCCGGUGUAGCGGUGGAAUGCGUAGAGAUCGGGAAGAACAUCGGUGGCGAAGGCGGCCUGCUGGGCUGUUGCUGACGCUGAUGCGCGACAGCGUGGGGAGCAAACA
rnacentral:rRNA from 1 species